GACUGUUUAUGGCACAGAAUGGAUCACAGAAAAGGUGCUUAUGUAGUACAUUGGGUCCCCGACUGGUGAUGAUUUCAGCCAGGUCUGGAUCAUCUAUGAGCUUAGAGGUGGUGUACAUCAUCAGGGUGUAGGCGGUUCUGUCUAGCAAAGAGGUGUUAUUUUCCAGGCAGGUGAGUAUGGUGGAUUUGAUCUCUUGGAGGAUCCUGGCCGCCUCGGGGUGACACGCCAGACAUUCGCACAACACGCACACGGAGCUGGUGUUGCCCCUACAUUUGAGGGAGAAGGGAAACGAGAGUAGGCACGGUCCUUGGGAGGUAUCCACCGUCUCUACAGGUGUGUCUGGCUCGGAGUAAUCGGGGUCGAGUAACAGGGACCGCUUCCAGGCCUCGCUGAAUAUCUUGAGAAGACUUGGCCUGUUGGUGUUUGAAAAGAACUCACGGUGGGGCACAGCCUUGACAGGGCAGCCAGUGGGGGGAUCUGGACUCUGGGCCCCCUUCUUGUGGGCUGUUUCCAGAGAGCUGGACCAGAUACCUUGUAUGUGAGCAGCAGACUGGACAUUACAGAUGGUAUUAGAUAACAAACUCAGGCGGACCUGGUGCAGGUUUUCCAGUUGAGCCACCUGAUCGGGGGUGGUGUGCCUGAAGCAUUGCCUGGCAAAGAAAUGAAGGUAAAAGUCUAUGCCCAUGAUCUUGCUAGAGUUUAUUUUCUCAGUAAUGAGAUGGUUUAGUCCCGCGUUAGAGAAGAUUUGCAACAUAUCACAGAUUGUUAUGUAGGUUGCGGACCAGGUCACGGGGGCAUGCAGCACGUAGAAGCAGAGGGUCGCAUACUCACUAAAAAAAGAAUCAGGGGGAUUGUGUUCCAGCACAGCUUCGAAAAGCAUGUUACAUAUCUUGCACUUGGAAGUGGGCAACAACGUGCUUGAGAUAUGAGUGAGUGUGGGAUCAUGAAAGCCUGUUUCUGGUGUGGCAGGUAGGUAGGAUUUAGAAAGUAACAUCUGCAUGAUUGAAUCGUGGGAGGUGACUGUCUCUAGAGACCAUGGUACGUACAUCUUCACCACUCGAUGGCGGCCAGUGUAUUUGAGAGGAAGGAUAGCUGUGUUAAAUACCUCCUGAGUCAUGGGGGGCAAUGGUGAUAGCUUUGCAUAUCCUCAGCUUUUAGAUUUUGAGGACAUAUUUACCGAGGACAUAGAUUCAUAUUUUUCCACAACCUAUGUAAAGUUUCACUUUUUGAACUACUGUAUCUUUUUGACCUGGUUUAUUAGUCAUAGGCACACUGAAAAGGGAUGUGUCCAUGGUCUUAUAUUUGACAGAAAGCUGUCAGCGGUCAGGGAUACCAUAUUGACCCUGGUGGACACUGAUCGGCUCAUAGACGGACAUGGCUAACCAGAAGAAGCUGAUAGACGAGCUCUGUGGGAUUGUUACUUCUUUUCUAUGUCCCCAGGGGAUUGUGCCAGAGAUUGAAAAAUGUUCUACAAAGCUGCCUCAUUUUUCUAAAGGUGGAACAAAGCCUGUGUGCACAGUGAGGCUCCAGCAUGGCCACACUUAUCACAUUGAGUUUGUGUACAAGUUUUGGCAGCACAUUUUGGGCCAGCUUCGCCUGCCCCUACAGCCUUGCUUUAUUUUGACAAAUAACGGCUUGGCCACCACUUUGAAAUGUUUUAUGAGCCCGCCAAGGGAUAUAGACUUUCAGUAUGGCAACAGGGUCAAUAUGGCCUGCGAUGUGAAUUUGGAGAAAAACUCUUGUGUUAUCAUAGAGGACGAGGAUUUCCUGAGGUUCAAGAGCUACCAUGUGUUUCCCAAGGACGUACCAAUCUAUAACUCUAUGGUGGUAUGUAGAACCUACAUCACUGAUAUGAGGAACGCAGUACAAUUUUUUGUGGUCAAGCCUGGAAACAGGAGAAAGAUUGUGCAUAUGUUGGAAAGUAUUGAGGAGAUGCCUGAAACCCCACAACAGUUGUAUUUUUGUGGUGGACGUGGGUAUAAGAUGAUAGGGGCUGGGCUCUCCCUCUUCUUUUUUGCAGCCAUAGUGGCGCUGGCCAGUAAACUAGUAUGGUGAUGGGGGCCUUGGACUAUCUGCGCUUGAUGAAUAUUUCAGUGGAUGAGUUUAGAAGCUUUUGUAUCUAUGGCCACCUCAGUGGGCAGCGUGGAUGGGGUGAGCUGUUGUUGAGCAAUCUUUCAUUUAAAAGAGCAGUGUGCCAUAUACUGAAAAUACAGUGUGAGACUAAGAAGAGGUGGACAAACAAGGUAUUGGUGGCGAAUAGUGCGUUGUCCCUACUGACCCUCUUCAGGAUGGUUCUUCAUGAAUGUGUUUUUUCACACAAAUAUUUUAUACCUGACAGGAUCGAGGACAUGUGUUUCCCGCUGACCAAAAUACUCACUGUGCCCUUCCUCAAGGCCCUAGAUCUGUAUCUCUCCCAGUUUUCCAUCUCAUGCAAGUUUCCCAUAAUUAAAAUAUCCACUGUGAAUCCUACCCUUCUGGCGUUUACCAAGAAGAAAUAUCUGGCUAGUGUUGUGUCUGAUCAACCCAUCGAGGUCCCUGCUCCAUCUGCCCGGCCUGAUCCUGUGAGGUUUACUGCUGCGGUGCCCUUAGCUUCUGAUGAGCAGUCUCUGGUGAAAGCUUUACAUUCCAGUACCGGGACAGUCCAGUGUGGAAAUCCAUUUUAUUAUAUGAUGACCAGACUUUGCUUGUAUGGACUAAUGCAUGGUAGGGGGGGAAUUGUGCCAGUUUCCAGCUCUAGUAAGCAGAGUGUAUAUGAUGUGGCUAUAAGAUUUAUAGGUUCUAGGAUAUUGAGCCCGAUAGUGAGGCUGCCAAUUUUAUCCAGGGCUUUGGCAGACCUGGCGCUGACGGGGCACGGUCAUCAGAUAACAGUGUGUAAUGAAUGUGGCCACUGUUUAAAUUUGGGCAGGGAUAAAUUUCUUGCAGUAAAUUUUUCCCCCACAAGUAUGUUUUAUUGCAGAGA
rnacentral:tmRNA from 1 species